CAAAUCCACUCAGUACUUUCAUAUGUUCAACUGCUCUUACUGAAAUAAUUUUUCUUCAAGGGAUAAUACCAAUCUAUUAAUGGUUAAUAACAAAUGAAUGCAUUGUAGUGUCAUUUCUGUUUCUGAUAGGUGCCAGUGUGCAUAAAAGUAUGUAUUUGACUAUUGUGUUAUUUGACUGAAGUCAAUGAGGUUGGGUUGAUCCACUUGUGUAGACUGAAGUGUCAAAAGCCAUUUAAAGAUAAAAUGAUGUUGUGAAGCAACAGAGAACAUAUCCGAUAAGGAAGAAACAGG